rnacentral:rRNA from 1 species
AUUGAACGCUGGCGGCAUGCCUUACACAUGCAAGUCGAACGGCAGCACGGGAGCAAUCCUGGUGGCGAGUGGCGAACGGGUGAGUAAUAUAUCGGAACGUGCCCAGUCGUGGGGGAUAACGUAGCGAAAGCUACGCUAAUACCGCAUACGAUCUAUGGAUGAAAGCGGGGGAUCGCAAGACCUCGCGCGAUUGGAGCGGCCGAUAUCAGAUUAGGUAGUUGGUGGGGUAAAAGCCUACCAAGCCUUCGAUCUGUAGCUGGUCUGAGAGGACGACCAGCCACACUGGAACUGAGACACGGUCCAGACUCCUACGGGAGGCAGCAGUGGGGAAUUUUGGACAAUGGGCGCAAGCCUGAUCCAGCAAUGCCGCGUGCAGGAUGAAGGCCUUCGGUU